GGCCGGUUAGCUCAGUCAGUAGAGCAUAGCGCUAGCAAUGCUAAGGUCGCGGAUUCGAUUCCCGUUCAGUCCC
rnacentral:tRNA from 1 species